rnacentral:rRNA from 1 species
GGUGAGUAACACGUGAGCAACCUGCCUAUGACAGUGGGAUAGCCUCGGGAAACCGGGAUUAAUACCGCAUAAAAUCGUAGAAACACAUGUUUUAACGGUCAAAGAUUUAUCGGUCAUAGAUGGGCUCGCGUCUGAUUAGCUAGUUGGUGAGAUAACAGCCCACCAAGGCGACGAUCAGUAGCCGGUCUGAGAGGAUGAACGGCCACAUUGGAACUGAGACACGGUCCAA